rnacentral:rRNA from 1 species
GAGUUUGAUCGUGGCUCAGAGUGAACGCUGGCGGUAGGCCUAACACAUGCAAGUCGAACGGCAGCACAGAGGAGCUUGCUCCUUGGGUGGCGAGUGGCGGACGGGUGAGGAAUACAUCGGAAUCUACUCUGUCGUGGGGGAUAACGUAGGGAAACUUACGCUAAUACCGCAUACGACCUACGGGUGAAGCAGGGAGUCUUCGGACCUUGCGCGAUUGAAUGAGCCGAUGUCGGAUUAGCUAGUUGGCGGGGUAAAGGCCCACCAAGGCGACGAUCCGUAGCUGGUCUGAGAGGAUGAUCAGCCACACUGGAACUGAGACACGGUCCAGACUCCUACGGGAGGCAGCAGUGGGGAAUAUUGGACAAUGGGCGCAAGCCUGAUCCAGCCAUACCGCGUGGUGAAGAAGGCCUCGGUUGUAAG